rnacentral:rRNA from 1 species
UACGUAGGUACCAAGCGUUGUUCGGAUUUACUGGGCGUAAAGGGCGCGUAGGCGGCAAAUUAAGUCAUCUGUGAAAUCUCCGAGCUUAACUCGGAACGGUCAGGUGAUACUGAUCUGCUAGAGUGCGGAAGGGGCAAUCGGAAUUCUUGGUGUAGCGGUGAAAUGCGUAGAUAUCCGGAGGAACACCAGUGGCGAAGGCGACUUUCUGGCCUGUUCUUGACGCUGAGGCGCGAAAGCUAGGGGAGCAAACGGG